GACGAUUACGCCGCGUGAGCGAUGAAGGCUUCGGGUCGUAAAGCUCUGUUGUCAGAGAAGAACAAGUACCGGGAGUAACUGUCUGUGUACCUUGACGGUACCAGACCAGAAAGCCACGGCUAACUACGUGCCAGCAGCCGUUGGUAAUACGUAGGUGGCAAGCGUUAUCCGGAAUUAUUGGGCGUAAAGCGCGCGCAGGCGGUUCCUUAAGUCUGAUGUGAAAGCCCACGGCUCAACCGUGGAGGGUCGGUGGAAACUGGGGAACUUGAGUGCAGGAGAGAAAAGUGGAAUUCCACGUGUAGCGGUGAAAUGCGUAGAGAUGGGGAGGAACACCAGUGGCGAAGGCGGCUUUUUUGGCCUGUAACUGACGCGGAGGCGCGAAAGCGUGGGGAGCAAACAGGAUUAGAUACCCUGGUAGUCCACGCCGUAAACGAUGAGUGCUAGGUGUUGGGGGUGUUCCACCCUCAGUGCUGACGUUAACACAUUAAGCACUCCGCUGGGGAGUACGGCCGCAAGGUGAAACUCAA
rnacentral:rRNA from 1 species